rnacentral:rRNA from 1 species
CACCGCGGUUAUACGAGAGGUCCAAGUUGAUAAUUUCCGGCGUAAAGAGUGGUUAGGAGAAUAAACACGAAACUAAAGCCAAACACCUUCAGAACUGUUAUACGUACCCGAAGGCAUGAAGAACUACUACGAAAGUGGCUUUAUUAACCCUGAACCCACGAAAGCUAUGUCA